AGCCUUCUGUAUCCAUGUUGAGAUUUCGUCACACAUCAGACCAAAAGAACUGAUGAGACUUCCAAGAUAAGUGAAGCG
rfam:Schistosoma curassoni strain Dakar, Senegal genome assembly, scaffold: SCTD_scaffold0018042